rnacentral:rRNA from 1 species
UACGUAGGGUGCGAGCGUUGUCCGGAAUUAUUGGGCGUAAAGGGCUCGUAGGCGGUUUGUCGCGUCGGGAGUGAAAACCUACAGCUUAACUGUGGGCUUGCUUUCGAUACGGGCAGACUAGAGGUAUGCAGGGGAGAACGGAAUUCCUGGUGUAGCGGUGAAAUGCGCAGAUAUCAGGAGGAACACCGGUGGCGAAGGCGGUUCUCUGGGCCUGACCUGACGCUGAGGAGCGAAAGCGUGGGGAGCGAACAGG